GACGAACGCUGGCGGCGUGCUUAACACAUGCGAGUCGAACGGAGAGGCCCUGCUUUUGCGGGGUGCUCGAGUGGCGAACGGGUGAGUAACACGUGAGUAACCUGCCCUUGACUUUGGGAUAACUUCAGGAAACUGGGGCUAAUACCGGAUAGGAGCUCCUGCUGCAUGGUGGGGGUUGGAAAGUUUCGGCGGUUGGGGAUGGACUCGCGGCUUAUCAGCUUGUUGGUGGGGUAGUGGCUUACCAAGGCUUUGACGGGUAGCCGGCCUGAGAGGGUGACCGGCCACAUUGGGACUGAGAUACGGCCCAGACUCCUACGGGAGGCAGCAGUGGGGAAUAUUGCACAAUGGGCGGAAGCCUGAUGCAGCAACGCCGCGUGCGGGAUGACGGCCUUCGGGUUGUAAACCGCUUUCGCCUGUGACGAAGCGUGAGUGACGGUAAUGGGUAAAGAAGCACCGGCUAACUACGUG
rnacentral:rRNA from 1 species